UGUGAGAGAUUUUCUACUUCACAUUUUCUUUUUCUGGAACUGUUUCUGAGACUGUCCCUCGGUCUCCCAGCCUUAGCAGGUCUAAAGAGCAGAGAUGACUCCAAGGUGGGUCUGGCCAGUGUUUCCUCCUGAGCAGAUACAGACCCUGCGUUCCCAGCAGGAACGCCCUCGUUUAUGCUGUGCUCUCUCAGUGUAGCCCACCAGGAGCAGCACAGAUCCCCCACCCCACUGGCGAUCUCAACCUGACGAUGGAAAACACCACUUUACAGACUCAGAUCUCAUCACGUCACUCUCCUGGUUAAAGACUUUGCCGCUGGUUUCCUACUGGCCUUGGAAAAGCAACAGAGGACUGACCAUGGCCUCCAGACACGGAACACUGCUGGCUGCUGCCCUCUCCCGUCAGUUCACCGCAACUGCCUGCAGUGUGCUCUGCUCUCACUUUCAGACCUGAGGCCCCGAGAGCGAGUGAGACCUGUCCAUUCCCAGACCUGAGGCGAC